CCUACGGUGCGCAGCAGUGGGGAAUAUUGGACAAUGGGCGAAAGCCUGAUCCAGCCAUGCCGCGUGUGUGAAGAAGGCCUUCGGGUUGUAAAGCACUUUCAGUGGGGAAGAAAGCCUUGGGGCUAAUACCCUCGAGGAAGGACAUCACCCACAGAAGAAGCACCGGCUAACUCCGUGCCAGCAACCGCGGUAAUACGGAGGGUGCGAGCGUUAAUCGGAAUUACUGGGCGUAAAGCGCGCGUAGGCGGUCUGAUAAGCCGGUUGUGAAAGCCCCGGGCUCAACCUGGGAACGGCAUCCGGAACUGUCAGGCUAGAGUGCAGGAGAGGAAGGUAGAAUUCCCGGUGUAGCGGUGAAAUGCGUAGAGAUCGGGAGGAAUACCAGUGGCGAAGGCGGCCUUCUGGACUGACACUGACGCUGAGGUGCGAAAGCGUGGGUAGCAAACAGGAUUAGAUACCCCAGUAGUC
rnacentral:rRNA from 1 species